GUUUGAUCAUGUCUCAGAUUGAACGCUGGCGGCAGGCCUAACACAUGCAAGUCGAGCGCGAAAGGUCUUCGGACUGAGUAGAGCGGCGGACGGGUGAGUAACGCGUAGGAAUCUACCUGGUAGUGGGGGACAACUCGGGGAAACUCGAGCUAAUACCGCAUACGCCCUACGGGGGAAAGGUGGCCUCUAUUUAUAAGCUAUCGCUAUUGGAUGAGCCUGCGUUGGAUUAGCUAGUUGGUAGGGUAAGAGCCUACCAAGGCGACGAUCCAUAGCUGGUCUGAGAGGAUGAUCAGCCACACUGGGACUGAGACACGGCCCAGACUCCUACGGGAGGCAGCAGUGGGGAAUAUUGCACAAUGGGCGCAAGCCUGAUGCAGCGACGCCGCGUGGGGGAUGACGGCCUUCGGGUUGUAAACUCCUUUCGCUAGGGACGAAGCUUUUUGUGACGGUACCUAGAUAAGAAGCACCGGCUAACUACGUGCCAGCAGCCGCGGUAAUACGUAGGGUGCGAGCGUUGUCCGGAAUUACUGGGCGUAAAGAGCUCGUAGGUGGUUUGUCGCGUCGUUUGUGUAAGCCCGCAGCUUAACUGCGGGACUGCAGGCGAUACGGGCAUAACUUGAGUGCUGUAGGGGAGACUGGAAUUCCUGGUGUAGCGGUGGAAUGCGCAGAUAUCAGGAGGAACACCGAUGGCGAAGGCAGGUCUCUGGGCAGUAACUGACGCUGAGGAGCGAAAGCAUGGGGAGCGAACAGGAUUAGAUACCCUGGUAGUCCACGCCGUAAACGAUGGACACUAGUUGUUGGAUUAUUUCAGUGACUAAGCGAAAGUGAUAAGUGUCCCACCUGGGGAGUACGAUCGCAAGAUUGAAACUCAAAGGAAUUGACGGGGGCCCGCAC
rnacentral:rRNA from 1 species